UUAUCAAAGCACAGAUCCGGGAAUACAUUUAUAUAUAUAGAAAGUAAUGAUUUUUCACAGGAUGAAUACCCUUGUAUUGACCUUGAAGCACACAUAGCAUAAUAUGAUAGUCUGGCAACAGUUUGAAUAUCACAAAUUCACAACUCACAAGCUCUAAUGUUCAAAUCAAUCACAACGAGUUCAGAUUUUUUUAGCUAAUUAAGGUUUCCUUGCAACACUGAAAGGAAUACCUGUAGUUAUCAUCCUCAUCCUCUCAUCUCCAAGAGUCACACGAGUAGUAGCCAACUAUUAGACUGCAUUUCUGUCCAUCCCAUUAGCAGAUAGAGCCUCUGUUCUUGACGUACUGCUCGAGCGCGAGCUCCAACCGAGGCACUUCUUGCUGGAUAGAAGUACUACAACAAGUCAUGGCUGAUCUUCUUAUGAACAAAAGUAAAAAAAUCAACUAACGACAGCACCGAUUAUGGAUGAGUGGAGAGGGUGAGGAGAGGAAAAUGAACAAUAACUCCCGAGCGAUGGGAAGCACCAGCAGUCAACGGCCAGAUCCCCUUCAAAUCAACCGACAAAUACAGAUCGAAGGAGGCCCAUGGUGUGGCGGCGGCGAUACAGCGCAUGGGUGACGACUGAGGGUCUCACAGCAGUCUCCCAGGUAACCCACAUCUCUCCCAUCCCUGGAUCUGAGAGGAGCGAUGGCGUACACCAUAGGGCCUUGGCGGAUGAAGAUGACACGGCACAAGCUAGGGUGGCUAGCGUUGGGCUGCAGGAGCAUGAAUGGGACAAGGCCACAACCGUUCGGGCCAAUAGCGGCCGACGGGAGAGGGAGCGAGUGAGGGUGCGCCGGCAGCAGAGCUAGCGAGUGAGAGGAUAAGGUUUGGGGAAUUAGGAUCUGGGAGAGCUGAAUGGAAAAAAC
rnacentral:lncRNA from 1 species